UAAAGUGUAGGUUAAUAUUUGUAAACUAUUGCCGUUCAAUGGCAGUGAUGAUUUUUGUUCACUUUAC
rnacentral:tRNA from 1 species